AACGCACGAGACCUGCGGACCUGCGGAAGGAUCAUUACCGAGUUUACAACUCCCAAACCCAAUGUGAACGUUACCAAACUGUUGCCUCGGCGGGAUCUCUGCCCCGGGUGCGUCGCAGCCCCGGACCAAGGCGCCCGCCGGAGGACCAACCUAAAACUCUUUUUGUAUACCCCCUCGCGGGUUUUUUUAUAAUCUGAGCCUUCUCGGCGCCUCUCGUAGGCGUUUCGAAAAUGAAUCAAA
rnacentral:misc_RNA from 1 species